rnacentral:rRNA from 1 species
GUGUCAGCAGCCGCGGUAAUACGUAGGGGGCAAGCGUUGUCCGGAUUUACUGGGCGUAAAGAGCGCGUAGGCGGAGAUCUAAGCGUGGCCUGAAAGCCCCCGGCUCAACCGGGGAGUGCGGCUGCGAACUGGGUUUCUUGAGGACGAUAGAGGAGAGUGGAAUUCCUGGUGUAGCGGUGAAAUGCGUAGAUAUCAGGAGGAACACCCGAGGCGAAGGCGGCUCUCUGGGUCGUACCUGACGCUGAGGCGCGAAAGCGUGGGGAGCGAACGGGAUUAGAUACCCCGGUAGUCC